rnacentral:tRNA from 1 species
GCCUUCUAUAUUAUAGGUCUUGUAAACCUAGGAUGAAACAAAUGUUUCAGAAGGCU